ACUGUUAAGACUGUGUUCAUGGAAGACAAUUUUACUCUGCUAUGAGUGAUCGCCAAAGAAGAAGAAAAUAAGAAGCUUUUUCGCCGCACACAGCCUCCUAAGGAGAAAACAUUGUGGGCAGUGCCUGGCAGCAGGUUGGUAAAUUAUGUCUCAAGGGGUGUGAACCAUGCAAGGUCACGUCAUCAUGGUUGCGGCAGUUGUCAAUUGGUGCCUUCCUAGCCGGGCAAAUGUGCCUCAUCAACGUGCAUCACUGUGGUUGGUAGGUAAUGGCAGAAUUUUGAAAGGUGCUAUGGGAGUGGCUGUCGGUGCUGCUAUGUCUCAACAGCUGUUGCUGUCUGCAUUUGGAUUACAACUCUAUUACACUGGUGUAAACCCUGGUGCAGCAGAAGCCCAGAAUAGCAGCAGUAAUAGUUAACAGUAACCCUUCUAGUUGGUUAACUAAGGAGCAGGUUUGCUCAAGUGUGUUGCAGGUAGAAAUACUGUUUGUAAUGAAGUGAGAGCAGUAGUUUACUUGCUCGAAUUAACAAAUAAGAAAGUUUUGAGAAUUUACAUGCUAGAUUAAAAUUUAUUAAUUCAUUGAGAAGGGGAUUGUAAGAAAAACACUGGGGCCUAAUUUGAAUAGUAGAGUGCCUGGUAUUUGGUGGGCAAUUUCAUCCUUUAUUUCCACACUGUGGCUGCAGACCAAAUCACCUGUCAGGAGAGCUAUGAGAUUCAGGUGAGGGUCAGAUGCCUUGUCAAUCCCAGCAGGUAUAUAACAGGAAGACCGUCCUGGCCAGGCCUGUGUCCAUACAUUGAAAGUGACAAACUUAGACAAACAAAUUUUGAUGAAGUUUUGGAUUCUAUGAUUCUAUGGCUGGCAAUGGCUCUCCAGGAUUUUCCAGACAAGGAAAUUCCCAGCACUACCUGGGACCUCUGAGCUAAAACCUUUCCUCUGUGAAAUAUACUAUUCUAAAUAUGUGAGUGUGGUACAACCAUUUGCAUUUACCAAUAGGAAUUGCACUGACAUAUCCGCUAAUCAGUCCCCAGCAUCUCCAGGUAGUGCUGGGAAAUACAUCUAUCUGAAACCCUAGAAAGCUACUACCAGUUUGUGUAGACAAUACUGAGAUAGUCAUAGUUCUAGAUCUCUGACUUAGGCUACCAUACAUUUAAAGCACAUGAAUUUCUGCAAAGAACCAAAAGAAUGGAAAUUUGUGCAGGGUACUGGGAAUCAUAGCUUUGUGAGAAGCAAACUACAGUUCCCAUGAUUCUUUGGGAAAGACACACGCUUUUUUGUAUGUAUGCAGCCUUAGUAUAGCACAGAUUUCUAUUUUCCUAACCACUGGAAGGCAAUACUUUGCAAGUUAAAGGAUGCUGGCAGAAAGCACAUUUAGAAACCCAAACUUAAUAUUUUCAUACGACUGGGCCAGAGUGGCAACUAGUUUGUCAUUGCCCACAAGAACGCCACAGAACAGACCACUUGCUCUAUCAUUUUGUUUUUCAGAAUACACCCAUGCCAUAUAUUUGAAGCACACAGAUUCCCCUAAAGAAUCUUGGGAACUGCUAGUUAACCGAAGUCUCUGAACAUGUUAUUGGAACAGCUAGUUGAACUGGGCACCACAGUUCAAGAAGGACACUGACAAACUGGAACGUGUCCAGAGGGGGGCAACCAAAAUGGUCAAAGGCCUGGAAAUGAUGCCUUAUGAGGAACGGCUAAGGGAGCUGGGCAUGUUUAGCCUGGAGAAGAGGAGGUUAAGGGGUGAUAUGAUAGCCAUGUUCAAAUAUAUAAAAGGAUGUCACAUAGAGGAGGCAGAAAGGUUGUUUUCUGCUGCUCCAGAGAAGCGGACACGGAGCAAUGGAUCCAAACUACAAGAAAGAAGAUUCCACCUAAACAUUAGGAAGAACUUCCUGACAGUAAGAGCUGUUCGACAGUGGAAUUUGCUGCCAAGGAGUGUGGUGGAGUCUCCUUCUUUGGAGGUCUUUAAGCAGAGGCUUGACAACCAUAUGUCAGGAGUGCUCUGAUGGUGUUUCCUGCUUGGCAGGGGGUUGGACUCGAUGGCCCUUGUGGUCUCUUCCAACUCUAUGAUUCUAUGAUUCUAGUUGGGACAGGAGCUAUGGUCCAGCAAAGCAGUUUCCUUAACAAAUGUCAGGAACUUUAUUAUAAUUGACAUGCAAAGAAGCUGAUGUUCUCACAAGUGUUCUGCCUUCUUGCCUAGUAAAUACGGGUGUCACCAAGCUGAUUGCAUUUUUCUUGCAGAGAAAACUACCUAACAAACUACAGUUCCCAUGAUGCUUCUAGGGGAAGCCAUGUGCUUCAAAUGUGUGGUUCAGGGGUGACCUUACCCCUUCUGUUAAGUCUCUUGAACCAAGUAGAAAGCAAACACAAAGAGCUGGUGGAUUUUGUUAUUUCUUUCUUUCUUUCAACAUCCCCACUCCACCAUGCUCUUUCAGUGGUCAACAUUUGAUGCUUAGCCCCCGCCCCACCCGCUCUCUCUCUCUCUUUUUUAAAAAAGAAAGGAGGUAUGGAAAAGUUUACUUGGCCAUGGGAUGAAUAGAUGGCAAUUAAAAGAAAAGGACAAUGCCUGGCCCUUGUGCAGAGGUACGAGUUUAGCUAUUAAAGGCUACGGCUUAGGUCAGAUUGGGACCAUAUGUCACCAUUCCAAAGCAUAGUGGUGCUUGGUAUCCCUGGAUCCCAAAUCAGCUGGGCCCAUUGUCUCUGUGCCUGGGUGAACCCCCCUCCGCACCCCCCAACAUAUAUUCAUAGCCCACACGAAGGGCCGCCUAGAAGACAGAAACAAAUUGAUACAUACAAGCGCCCACCACCAUUGGGGCUCACAUGACACAUUUUAAGCAGACAAUAAAAGCACAUUUCAGACUGUUUAAAAAAUCUUGAGAAAGGAUCGGUUGCCACGGCGAUCAGAUGGUAGGCCCCUCCGACGCGGCCCAUUAAACUCCAAUUGCACCUUAUUCAUUAGGACUGACUCUCGGACGGUAAAAGGAGGGGGAAUGCAGGAAGAAAAGGACUUUUUUAAACGGGGUGGGCCUAGGGAGAAUGAAUCUGUGCAAUAACCAGUUUGUUCAUCAAUUCAGGUGUUGUUUAAUUUGUCCUGUUCAGGGGCUCCCUUUGUUUAAGCCCAUCGCCCCAUUGACUUAUAAUUUCCAGCACUCUAUUAAGAUGGGUUUCUCCAAACCCACAGGCAUCACUUCAUCGCUUAAAGCGGAAGGAGGGGGAAAGAAUGGAAUAAAUCAAAGAUGGGGAGAUUUUCACUUUAGGAGUUGAUGAUGGAAAGGCUUGUAAUUUCGGAGACGCCUCUUGGCUGGAUGUUUGCAGCAACAAAAGAGAGAGGAGCAUUUGCCUCUCCUUAGGCGUGUCAAGGGUGCAGUGCUCAGAGUGUGGGCCACGUUUCUCUCUCAUAUUCAACUUUGCUCUGUUUGGGGACGGUGUGCUGGUAAUGUGCCCCGGAGCUUUUCAGGAGGCAGAGAGAACAGAAAAGACCUUUUGAACUUUAAAACACAAAAGGUGUUAAGUUGUUACCACCCGACCAUAUUUGGUGAAGUUAAAAAAAAACAAAAACUUAAUGCUGCCAAAGUAAUGAAAAUGUUCAGAUCUACAAAGGCCUGUAACUUCAUGUUGUUCAAUGCCCAAAGAAGGGAAGGCAAGGAAAAUACCAGCCUGCAUGUUUGAGGGCAGGACCAGCCCUAAACAUUUUGGUGCCUGAAGUGAAAAGAUCCAAAGUACACCCCAUACCUAGUAACCAGAAAAUCCUUAGCCCUGAAGAACUUUGCUAGUUUCACUUAAACGCACUCAAAAUUCCACAGCCCCCCCCUUUUUUUUGCCUGAAGUGGCAGCCUUCCAAAUAAUCUUAAUAUUUCAAAUUAGGCUAUAUCUAGCAAAAAAACCAACAACAAACCUAUAUAAGUGCAAAACUUGCUGGACCUUUUCUUCACUAUUAUGAAAAAUAAUAAUUCCCCCCUUGCACUGAUGAUCCUCAGACUUUUCUGCCUAUGGAAGAACCCUCAAAGAGGCAUCUGCCAUGUGAGCUGUUAAAAGUGCUGCGAUUCUGUCAGGCAAAAAGGGAGCAAUCGGAACCCAGCCUUUACCAAUAUGAAUUCUGUUUUUAAGUGAGAAGGGAGCCAUGUCACAAACUGCUAUGUUUUGCAGUUCUCCCUCUUCCCGGGCAACUCUGGGAACUGUAGUUCUGUGAGCAAAAUAGGCGGUUGGCACCCUUUACAGUUCCCACAAUCCUUUGGGGGAAGCAAUGACUUUUUAAUUGUUAUAAUGGUGCUUUAAAUAUAUGGGCCCAAGCCUACAUGCAGCCCUUUCCACACCUCCUUGAGCUAUCGUAACUAGUUUCGCAGCUCUCAAUCCUACCCUGUGACUGGCAAGUUUGCACUCAAAGCAGAAUCACGGCCAUCUUGGUUCAGUAAGCCCACCAAAUUAGAACGGAAUAAGAUGUCUACCCGUGUGUGGUGAAUGGCAGCACAGCAGAGAAAAUCAAGAUUCCCACCAGUUCCUUAAGUCCCAAUUAUUCCCAGAUUAUCUUUUGAAAUCGGGAGAUCUCAGCUGAAUAAACCAGUUGCCUGAAUUACUGACAGCCGGGUGAAUCGCUAAGGAGAGCAAAGAGGGAGCUGAGCUCCACGGGUUAAAGGUGCCAGUCCCCUUUGGUGACCUCUGGGGGCAAGGGAUGCUGUGUUAUUGACUGACGGGCAGAUAAACAGCCGCACCGUUUGCUGUCUCCUUUGGCACGCCAGUCAGGCAAACAACAGAGGGCAAGGGCCUUCCCGAAGUUAAAGAAUAACUGUUUGGAGGAGGACGGGAGACCCUGGCGGCUUCAUCCUUGCUCUGGGGUCUUCAAAUCAAGCGUGGGGUAAACAGCUUCAGAAAGGAAGAGAGGCAAAAGUCACCUCCGUGGUUACCGAAAGGGGUUUUGCUCUCUAGCAACGAAGGCUUCUCCCCUGCUUUUGCCCCAGACUCUAUUAAACGGCUUUCCCUAUCUAUCUAUCUAUCUAUCUAUCUAUCUAUCUAUCAUCUAUCUAUCUGUCUAUCAUCUAUCUAUCCAUCCAUCCAUCCAUCCAUCCAUCCAUCACUCACUCACUCACUCACUCCCACCCACCCACCCACCCUCAUUGUGCAUGGCAGCAGUAAGCAAAGAAGAGAUCUCUCCUUUGAGAGGCACAGACGGUUGCUAAGAGGAGAGAUAAAUGCCUUUCCUGCCAGGGGACGACUUGUAUCUGACCUCACCUCACUCCUAGAGGCUCAAUUUCUGUGCAAAGGUUUAUGCUAUUCACUAUCUAGGCCUGCAGAAAAUUGCUCUGAACAUCUGCACACCUUACAUGACUGGUAGGGCUAAAUUUGGCUUGGGGAGAAUGGUUGCCCCAUAUUAGUUGGGUGGCUUCUCCCCUGACCCUGCCCUUUGCCCCCUUGCACUUGAAAAACAGACAUGGAGAAGAAAGUCUCUGAGAAUGCACAGUGUUUCUUUCACCCUUCUCCCUCAGCUUCCCAUUGCGAAUGAAUAACCUGCGCCUCAAGACACAUAACUAAAAUCUGAAGAUUGGGCCUCAGAGCUAAACAGCACUCAGCUCUGGAGCCUUCCAUUUUACACACCAAGCUACACCUGUUUUUGGCUGUAGCAUCCCAGGUAGUUGACUGAAAACUGACCCUUGCGGGCUCCCUUGAACUUGCAGACAGAUCUGCCUUUUUCAGUCUGAGCCAUUCAGUUAACAGUGGCUUCAGGUAUCCCUGUUGCAUCUCCUUCACACCCAGUGGAUAGUAAAGACAGGUGUAACCGUGCUAUUUUGCUGAAUGGUCACCACUGUUCCUGUUACUAACUGCAUUCGACAGAGCUCAAGAGGACAUCAUCAUCAUCAUUAUUUCAUUGCUUUUUACACGAAAGUGCUUCAAGGCAACUUAUAAUGUAAGAACAAGAAACAUUAAAACCAAAUGUAAGGACCACAAUAAAACAAGAACCUAAAAUACCUACGGUAUAUAUAAUUUUAUAUAAAAAAGGACAGAUUCAACCCACACCACUAAAAGAAUGAACAAUAAAAAGAGGCCAUGGACAUUAUCCCCCAAAUUAAAAGCCAAAGCCUGAGUAAAUAAAAAUGUUUUUGGUUGGUGCCUAAAAACAGACAAUAAUUGCUCCAGGCGUGACUCCCUGGGGAGAGGUUUCCAUAAAAGCACAACUGAAAAAGCCCUCAGAAUAGGGGUGCAUGGAGAAAAGGACCUCAGAUGACAAACACAGGGUCUAGCUUGGCUCAUGCCUAGAUUUCUUCCCAUGUUAUCCUCACAGUCCUAUAAGGUAGGUUUGGCUGAUAGAUAGCCUGGCCCAAGUUAUCCUAGUCAGCUCUAGGGUGAGUAGGGAUUUCAGCCAAUGUCUCCCCAGUACAAGGCUACUCUAUCUGCUAUACCACAAUGUCCAAUGGCCAUUUAACCUCAAAGUCCCACUAAUCAAGUGUGAUGUCUAUGGUAUGCAUCCAGUGUACAUUAUUUUCAGUGUACAUUAUUUUAGUUACUUCACUUUUGAAAACAAAUAGCAGUUUAUCAGAAAGUUUGUGUCUGAAAAUGCAAUGGUGUUGUUAAGGAGUGGGGAUGGGGAGAAAAGAGGAGAGUUAAAUUAUAAAUAAAGCUGGGGGGGGAGUUUUUGCACUGCAAUGAGACUAUUGAUUUCAUUGUGAGCAUAGGAACAAGAGAAGGUCCAAAAUCAAAGCAUUCCGUGGUUAUUUUUCUAUCAAAAAGUAAUGUUGGGUGAAUAACCUAUUUACAUGCCAAUGUGCAUUGCUGAACUGACCCAGGAUGGGGGUGGGGUGGGGGGAACAUACAAGCCUUCUAUUAUCCGCAAUCAAUAAUUGCUAGAGUUCCUGGGAGUCACCCUACUAAGAAGACGUUAACGAGGUGCUCCGUUGCGUGAGGAGAGACAGCGAACAAGGUUUUAAUUGGCAAUAGAUUAUAUUUAUCAAACUGACAGCAAAGAGGGGUCGAGGGGCAGUCCUCUUGGUCACUGUGUGGGUGGGUGGGGGGAGUAAGGAUUUAAAGGUUGGAGAGGAGGAGGGUGAUGGAGGGGAGCAAGACCCUUCCCAUAAUCUCACAUCAUUCUGAAUUAUUCAUUAGAGUCCUUCAAGAGGGUGGAUAAAUCAAGGGUGAAACAAAGAAUGCAAGAUGCUAUUGUGCUAUCACUUGAAGCCAACUAAGACCCAAGCCAAGUGAUGAUGAAGGGGGACAGCUAAGGGGAAGGCGAGCAGGAAAGAGAAGAAGAGAGCGCCAUUUGAGGUCAUUUAGCAAGAUGGAGUGUUUAAGAGAUGAAACUGGAUAUUUUGGUUAACCUUAGCUCAUUUUAAAGGUCACCUACUGGGUAAAGUUAAACCAUAUAAUCUGGGGGGGGGCAGAAUAAUAAUAAUAAAUUAUUAUUAUUAUUAUUAUUAUUAUUAUUAUUAUUAUUAUUAUAUACCGCCCUACACCCACAGGUCUCUGGGUGGUUCACAAGAUAAAAUCACAAUAUAAAAACACAGAAUACAUAAUCAAAAUAAAAACAGAAACAACCGAAUUAACCACCACACCAAAUUUUUAAAAAAACCAACCCACAUUUUAAAAGGGCAUUGGAUGACAAUCAACCAAAGGCUUGGUUAAAGAGGAAUGUUUUUGCCUGGCACCUAAAGCUGUAUAUUGAAGGAGCCAGGCAAGCCUGCCAGGGGAGAGCAUUCCACAAGUGGGGAGCCACUGAAAAAAAGGCCAAUUCUCGUGUUGCCCUCCUCCGGACCUCUCAUGGAGGACGCACAUGAAGAUGGGUCUCAAAAGCUGAUCUUAGGAUCUGGGUAGGUUCAAAUGGAAUGAGGUGCUCCUUGCAGUAUUGCGGUCUGGAGCCAUUUAUUAUUUGCUACAUGUACACCACGCCACAUGGAUCUCCUCUUUGGGCUUGGGAGACCUGAAUUCAAAUCCUCACUGAACUCAGCCAGUCACAAAUCUCACUGGGGAGGCCCUGGGCGAUUUACUAUUUCUCAGUCUAGCCUGCUUCACAGGGCUAGAGCAAGGGCAGAAUGAGACAACCAUCUGCAUUUCUUCCUGAUGCUAAAGAAAAUAGAAUGCUUAUUUGGCAGACAGAAUGCCACAUCUCCAUCUAUUCACAAAGCGAAAUAAGGACACUUGUGUAUUUGUAAUACCUUUUAUCAUUCCAGUCAUCACUGCUAGAGCCUCUCUGCCCUUCUUUGAAUGCUGACCUGUUAAGACAUCCUCCCCCGCCCCAUUUUCAAAAAUGUAUUCAUCACAGCCCUAAAUUACUUAAAUCAAACAAAAUGUAUGAACUUGGGUCAAACCAUUCCAAAGAACAAUACAGUCUUAAUGUAAAUAAAAGAGGGAAAUUAAUAACAUUGUGUUUAAAAAUUCAACAAAAAAACUCACCAAUAUACACAUUUUGCUGCAGACUUCUUCUUCUUUGGUAAUCACUUGUAGCCAAGUAAGAUUGCCUUCCAUCAACAUGGUCUAAGAGUGAGUCAGUACACAACUGUGGAAGCCAAUUCUGGAUCCACACGUCCUUCCACAAUAGGGACAUAGGUUUCCAGGCGGGAGUUGAUCAUGGUGUGGAUUUGCCAAGUGUGCCUUCCUCUUAGCAUGUUUCUCCCUUGCAUUCUGAGUUCGAGUGUCUUCAAAGUCCAUGACACCUUUGGUAAAGGUUGUUCUCCAACUGGAAUGCUUGCAGGCCAGUGUUUCCCAGUUGUCGGUGUUGAUACUACAUUUUUUAAGAUUUGCCUUGAGAGAGUCUUUAAACAUCUUUUGCUGACCACCAGCAUUACACAGAACCACAGUACUGAGUACAAGAAAAAGCCUAUAAAACAAUGCAAAGUCAAGUUCAGCAAUAACCAAUGCUGAUUCAAUUACUGAAAAAGUCUUUCAGCUCUGUUAAAUGCCUACUGGAUACCAAAGGAUGCAUUCUUAAGGUUACUAAAUGGAGCUUCUUACAAAGCACCUUUCAUGCUUAUUCCUAGACAUUACUUUUAUUGUGAAUUCAUAAUUAUCUGUGCUGGUGAUGGUAUUUGGGGUGGUUAUACAUCAUCCCUCUUUCAACACUGUUUGUCCUUGCAAAGGUUUGGGGGCAGACAUACUGCUUCGUUUGCAACCAGCAGUGCAUGUCCCUCAUAAUUUAUGCCUGAAACUUUCCAUACCACAGAUGAUCCAGGGUGGUUGUUCUUUGUCCCAACUUUUGUUGCAUUCUAGUGCAAGAGUGCCCCUCCAACUGGUAACAAUGCGCUAAGAUUGGGGAACCAUCGCAGAACAACUCAUAAAGCAGAAUGAUGAGAGGAUGUUUAUAGAAAUCCACCACUAAUGCACUGUUUUUUAGCAAGGUGUCUUCCAUCUGUGAGGAGAGUAAGACCUCCUCUGUGGCAUCCUUGCUAUGGAACAACCUUCCCAGAAAAACUUGCCAACCACCUUUCUCCAGAGUGCCUCCUUCUGUGUGCACAUUCUACUUCUGCUUCCACUAAGCAGGUUGUGUAGGGUUUGAUCUCAUUUCCAAAAAGCCAAAUGAAUAAACCUGUUUGACCAACUGUGGGGAUGGAAAUUAAUGUGUCACAUACCUCCUGGGAAGUAGCUUUUUCCAACCGCUUUCCACUUGCUUUAAAAAAAGCAAAAACAAAACUAUUGUCUGUCUCCAGCUUUGAGAUCUGCCUUCUUUUAUUCUUCUUCCUUUCCCUGCCUGAGCUGAGAAAAGAAAGGGCGGGGGGGAAUAAUCUAAUGAAAUAUUUAAGAUUUUGGUGGGCAAGAGAGUCUCGAGAAGGUAUUGUUUGCUCCCGUCUUUUGUGAGGAAGAUGGGAGAUGGCUGUAAGCAGGUUGCCAGGGGCCGCACCAUAUUGAUGGGAACGGAGUUGGCAUUGGCUACAGCUGUGGUAUCUCGAUUCCCAGCUGAGACACCAGCCUGGAAGCCUUUGUCCAGCUUUGUGAAGAGGACACGGAGGGGCCAAAUUUACACAGACUUGAUUGCAAUUGCUACUAGGCUUUCUUUCUCCCCCUUGCUUUGUCUCCUGUUAGAAAAUGGGAGAAGAGAGAGGGCACACGGGGGAGGGGGGGUUGACAAUAAAUGAUGAAUUUCAUCACUGCUGGGCCACAUAAUAAACUCAAACACAGGAGAAACCCCCAGCUUUUCCCCUUCCCUCUCUUAAAGACAUCUCCCACUGCUUUGCCUUCUUGGAACCUGAUUUUUUCCCACUAACUGCUGCCUGAUUUAUAGUCGCUCCCUUAGAGGGAGCAUAUGUGGCAGAAGCCGUUUAGCAAGGGGCUGACAUUUCGCUUAAGCAACUGUGAAAGGGCAAAUUUUCCCUGAAACAGAGCUGCAGAAGAAUUAUGCUCAGUGGCUUCAUUUUGCUCCUCCAGUUCUUCUUGUGGCCACCAGCAGUCCUCACUGCACACACACACUACAUAACAUUGAAUCACAUCCUUGGACUCUAUCCAUUACUGAAUCCACAGUAGCAUUCCUCGGUUCUGUUCCCAUCAGAUCACAUCCACAGCAUACGUUUAAAGCACCUUUAUGCCACUUUAACAGUCAUGGCUCACCCCCUCCACAGCCAAGAUUUCUGGGAGUCACAGUUUAGCCCUCACAGAGCUACAACUCCCAGCACCCUUAGCAAGCUACAGUUCCCAGGAUUCUUUGGGCGAAGCGAUGCACUUUAAAUGCGUGUUAAAUGUGAUGUAUGGUGCAGAAGUGGUCAAAGCACCGAUGAAUUUAACAGUGUGGGGUUCAGACUUGGGAUGUGCGCGGUUGGGCACAAUGCCAUCUGUGGAUCCAAUUCCAUGCCACUUAUCAACACUGUCCAUGAAUUUGUCAUCUCACUCUAGGCGGGGGGGGGGGCAGGAUGGGGGUAGGGGAUCUUCCCACUCCGAUCAGUGCCAGAUUUCGGGUAGUGCGGGCAGUUCCCUUGCACGGGGCACCAAGGGAGCACACAACAACAACAACAACAACAACAACAACAACAACGACAAAUCUACUCAAUAUUUGAAGGGGCGAAAAUUUUGUUCUCACUCAGGGUGCAAUGUUACUAAGUCCGCCCCUGCUUCCAGCUGAGCAUCAAAUUUAUUUGGGAAGAAACUGGUUGUGUGAUGCCAAAAUGCACAUUAAAAUCAGUGUGGUUAGAGGGUUGGACACCUGUGUACUCUCUCACCCUCCUCACCCCACCUUGCAGUCCCCUUGACCCACAGCUUGUUGUGGGGAUUAAAUCAGGGUGAGAACCAUUUGAGCUCCUUGGAGAAAAAGGAUGGGAUAUAAAUGCAAUAAAUAAAUCUCUCUCACACCCACAAACACACCCACACACCCCACACAUUCACAAACUCCUAGAUGAAGAUGACUGCCAGACUGGACUAGUCUGAUGUGAAGGCCAGAGCUUCUCCUCCAGCCCAAUCUGCACCACUGCCCAGUACAAAUAGGACAUGGCGCAUGGAGCCUGCAGUUGCUGCUACUCCUUGCUUUUGUCACUGCCCCAUGGUGGAGGCAGUUCCAUUAGGGAGAACAGGGCACUGCCCCACCAACUUCACUCUGCCCUUUUUACAACCAGUCCACGGGAUGGCAGCUUCUUCCAUUUCAGUGUUGUCCUUGUAGAACUGUGCAGCAAAGAGGAGGAGGGUGGGGACAAAAGUAGAAUGGGUUGACUCUGCCUCUCAUUGGCUCUGGCUGUGCCUGUCAUUGUCUCUGGCUCCACCUUCUGUUUGGCCUCCCUGCCUUACGUUCCGCCAGUCCCAGUGGGCAGCAGCCAUCAGUGCUGCCCUCCUGUGUAGAUUUUGUCAGUGAACAGGCAAGAAGUUAUAACUGUGGAAUUCACUGCCAAAAGAUGUAAUGAUGGCCACCAAUGUGGAUGGCUUUUAAAGGAGUUUUGGCUUGGACAUACCAAGGGGCAGGGGUCCUGUGCUGACAACGCCCAAGAGAGUCUGCAGGGAAGGAGGCAGUCUUUGAGAUAUUGGGGGGGGGUGCCUUAUGUUAAUUAGCACUUUAAACACAAAUGCAGGACUUCUCAGACUGGUCCAUGGACUACCAGUGGCCUGCAAGUUUCGUUCAGGUGGCCCAUGGCCCAUCUGCAGCAAACCUGUUUAUUUUCCAUUGCGUUUUUAUUGCUGCUUUUAUCUCUUCUAUUGUACUUUAUUCCACUGCAAUUUGAAUGCUAUGGAAUGGCAAAUUGCAUUUCAAAUAAAACACAACAUAUUAAGAAACGGAAGAAGCAAUAGCAAUUCAGUUAAAAGCCAAUGCAGCUUCUAAGAGCACAGAAGAUUACAGUUGCUGCAAAACCAGUAUAUGGUCCACCAAGACCAUUAGCAAUUUUCAAGUGGUCCACAUGGGGUGGACAAGUUUCGGAACCACAGAAAAAGUGAAUUGUGCCUCAGUCUUCCAAGCCAGUCUUUCAAAAGAUGCACGCAAGGGAGUUACUGCUUCAGUACAUCCUCCCAUGUCUUCCUCUCUGCCACACACUCCCAAGCAGUGAAUUCCACUCUUUUAACAGGCUUCCUCAGGUCCCUUAACAGGGAGCUGGAGCAACUUAUGAAGAUUACAUCCUUCUCAAGAGGCCUGUUAUUUCUUCAUUUAAGUGGGUGGGCAUGACGGUAGUUUUUCGGUUUUUGUUUUGUUUUGUUUGGAGGAGGGAGGGAGGGAGGAGAAGAAAAGAGUAAUGUGAUUGAAUGUGCGUGUGUUGCUUCAUUAGAAGGCUGGUGGGGUCCCCCAUCCCCACCCCCUUCCCCUGCCUCGUGACAUGGAAGGCUGGCACGCAAAGCUGCGUAGUUAGUUGUUAUUAAUGACCCUGGCUCUGGUUUGGUCCUCAAGGGACAAUCUGACUUUAAUAAGCCACAGCUGGAGGGUGGUUUCCGGGCCUGCCGCUGAGGAGGGAGAGAAAACAUUUCAGGCACAGGGGAGACUCAAGCAGAGCAGGGCUGUAGGAAGAAGCUGUGUGGAUGGGGACCACACUGCUGUGUUGACAAGCUUGUGUCUCAAGGUGUGUGUUUUUAUUGUACAAUUGGACAAAAAAAGGGGGAGAAUUGGGGGGGAAACCAAGUGUGCUGUUGGAAAGCUGAUAAUGUGCAGUUCAAAAGUGUGUGGCGAAGGGAGGGAAGAUUAGCAUGGUAUCCAACUAAGUUUUACUUAGCAUAGACCCAUUGACAUUAAUAGACCUAGGUUUGGCCAUAUUUGCACUAUGUAUUUAUAGGCAGGAUCAUAUCACAUUAAACAGUCACGACUCCCCCCCCCCCGCCACGAAGCAUGGUUUGUUAAGUGUGGUGAGGGUUGUUAGGAGACCCACCUUUCCCCCUCACAGAGAUAUAGUUCUCAGAGUGGUUUAACAGUCAUCCCCUCUUCCCAGGAAACUCUGGGAAUUACAGUUCUGUGAAAGGAACAGGGUUUUCCUAGCAGCUCUCAGCACUCUCAGCAUCCCAUGAUGAAAAGUCCAGCAUCCUGUUCUCACAGUAGCCAACCAGAUACCGCAAAGGGAAGUCCACAAGCAGGGUCUGAGCACAACAGCGCUCUUCUCUCCUGUGGCUUCCAGAAAUUGGUAUUUAGAGCCAUACAUUUUAAACACAUUUAAAUCACACCCACCCUCAAAAGCAUGAUGGGAACUAUAGUUUGUUAAGGGUGCUGAGAACUGUCGCCCUGUGAGGGGUAAACUAUGGUUCCCAUAAUUCUUUAAGGGGCAGGUGUGCUUUAAAUGUAUGGUGUUUAGAUAGUUGUUGUAGCAGCAGCAGCAGCAGCGAAGAGCAGCACCCAACUCAGGGACUGAUAAAAGACUGGUUGAAAUCACAGAGGGAUGGGUGGUUAUAGGAAGGAGAGGGACAGGAAGCCUUCUUCCUAAGGAGGGAGGGAGAGAAAAGGGAGAAAUCGUUGCAAAACAUUGGAGAGAAAAGAAUUGGCGUCGCCCCCUCUAAAUUUGGGCUCCCUAAUGCAUUUUUCUGCUGUCAGGUUGGGUCACCCAAACUAAGCUGUGAGCGGUGACCUUGACAAGGAACCAACUUCCACGAGCCAAGAGGAGGGAGGGAAGGAGGCCUGUGGGGAGGGAGGGAGCAUGGUUAAAGAAAAGCACCUUCUUUUCAGUAUGUACACAAGGAGCGGAGGUUGACACGCCGACCUCAACGCUUGGCGGCCGCCCAGCUGGUUACACGACUUGGCAAGGGAGAGCGUGAGAAAGCAGGGGGCAAGAGCUGAGUGUCAUCGCAGCUGCAAAAAAAGGGAAAGGGGGGCUGGGUGGGGAACACUGUGCUGAACAGAAGAAGGGGGGGAACCACCCUAAUUAGAAAAAUAUGCGGCCAGAGGCCUUUCCGCCGUGAAAACACAGCCACAUUGACCCUCUCCUGCCAAAUGUGCAAUCUAAGUUAUUUGAGGCUAUGGAGUGUGGGAUUUUGUAACUAGGCUGCAACAGGGUAUGCCGAGGAAGAAAAUGGACUGGGGGUCGGGGUGGAAAAAGCUCCACAGGGACCAUAACUCAAAGCUGUCAUUGCAAAGGGUUGGAAAGGAGAAGAAGCGACAUCACUUCCUAAAAGGGACAAAACUUCAUUGCAGCUUCCUAGACCCUGUUGUUGUUCUUGCUGCUGCUCCUGGUAGUUGUUUUUUGGACUCCUUUCUGCAGAGGCCCUUUGCAAUCAAACAGCAAUGCUUGAAAAUCCUGUACUUGGGAACAACAUCUGAAAUGAAACCCCGAACCACCUCUACUUGAAAAAAAAAAAUUGUUUAAGUGUUUGAUGCAUUUGUUCUCAAACCAGGUUCAAUCCAACUAGCUCAGGCAGUAUUCAAACUUAAGCCAGGUGUGUGUAUUUGAGACAGCCUUCACGCAUGUGCAGACAACAACUUAAUGAACAGAGGCUUGGUGGGGUGUGAUUGCAGGGGAGGGGGAACCAAAAAGAUCAUGCAUGUUGGAUGAAGACAUCCCCGUCAAGCUGGAUGGGACUGAUGGGAGUUGGAGAGGGCCACAAGUUCCCAAGUCCAGUUUUAACCAAUCAAAUCUGGAGCAACCACUCAUGCAGAUACACAGCAGGGAGCCUCCUUUCUGGAUGGUGCUUACAGCUCUCAGAAGCCCCACCUCUCCUCCCGUUUCCUUUGGCUCUCUCCGCAAUCUGUCUCUGACAAAAAAGGCACAUGAGCAUUAUUGGUGCACAUGAUGGUGUAGGGAAUGAGGAAGCUGAAGGCCUCCAGAAGCUGGACUUCAAUUCCCAUCACCUCUGACUGUUGGCCAAGCUGGAGUUUGUGUCCAGCAACAUCCAGAGAACCACACAGGUUCCCCAUUCCCGAAUUACCAUCUCUAAAUGCAGGGGUGGUGGGUUGGAACUAGAAUACCAUCAACUCCAGAGUCUAAAGUUACCUAACUGUACCACCAAAUAUCCUCAGGGAUCUUUUAUUGAGAAGCAUACUGCCUCCAACGGUAGAUGGCAUAACUAGGGGUUGGUCAGGUUGGCCUCCACCAAGUGCGCAGGCCCAGGAGGGCACAAAACACAUGGCUCUCCACUCUAGCUCGUGGUGGCUAGGAGCCCUCCCACCUACCUUGGAUCACUCCUUACGCAAGCUCCCUUGGGUGCUAUUAAAAGUGUGUGGAGUUCCCAGAAGGGCUCAGAGGGAAGAAAGACGAGGAAACAGGUGAGAGUUCCAGGGGAAGGAAGGAAGGAAGGAAGGAAGGAAGGAAGGAAGGAAGGAGUGAAGGGAGGGAAGCAAGGAGGAAAGCACACAAAGGUGCAAGGAAUCGUGGGGGGCACUGAUACAGUUCCUUGCCAAGGGUGCAAGGGAGCCUAGAUAUGCCUCUCACAGUGGGGGUAGAGCAUAUUCAACAGGGUUAGUAGCCUAGCCAUCGGUAGACAAUCCAUGGCCCUAGAGACAAGCCUUGGAGACUUGGCAGCCCUUAAGUAGGCAAGCUGUCUUCUGGGGAAUCUUGUAUGCUCAUAGUGAUCAGAACCAGGGAGGAGCUCCUGAUAGAACCUUUCCAGGGUUCUUUGAAGAAAUGCUGUUUUGAAUGCCACUGAUUUAACUGGUACAUCAGUGUGCAUGCCAAUAAUGUCUAUGUGUCUCUUCUGCUUGUGGGAGGGUGAGCCAGAAUCGAGAGGCAGAUUGCAUAGAGCCAGGGGAAAUGGGAGGAGGGCAUGGGCUAGGAAAGAGGCUCUCUCUGUGUGUGUACUUUAUUGACACACGACUGCAGCUCAGCUAUCCCGAGCUGUGUGGGUGGCUCUGUGCGGAUGCCUGCCAGGCUCCUCUUUUCCCAGACACGAAGCAGACGGCUUGUCACACAAAGAAAGUGGUCAUUAUGGGACUCUCUCUCUCUCUCUCUGUGUGUGUGUGUGUGUGUGUGUGUGUCCCUCGUCCCUUCUCCGUGCCAAAGCUGCAAACAGUAGAAGUUCAUUUUCAAAGGAGCAGGGAUGGGCCACACAUCAAUUCAUGACCUGCCAAUGCUUUUGUUUUUUAAAAAAUUGGGGCCUGGGGUGAACCUGUGAUGUGUGUUGGGGAAUGUGGAGGGGCAAAGGGCUCUACUCUAGAGCAUGGGUAGGCAAACUAAGGCCUGGGGGCCAGAUCCGGCCCAAUUGCCUUCUAAGUCUGGCCCACGGACGGUCCAGGAAUCAGCGUGUUUCUACAUGAGUAGAAUGUGUGUUUUUAUUUAAAAUGCAUCUCUGGGUUAUUUGUGGGGCAUAGGAAUUCCCUCUAAAAUAUAGUCUGGCCCCCCACAAGGUCUGAGGGACAGUGGACUGCUGAAAAGGUUUGAUGACCCCUGCUCUAUAGAGAUGAGUUUCCUGGAAUGCUAAUAGGGGGCAGUAAUGGAGGUGGCACAAGGUGAAGUGCUUUGUGCAUACAUAUGUGCUCAUGCGCGUGCACACACAAGAGCAGCUUGCUGGAUCAGGCCAAUAGCCCAUAUAGCCCAACCUCCUGUUCUCACAAUGACCAACUAGAUACCUGUGUUAAGCCUGCAAGCACAGCAGCACUCUAGCAACUGGUAUUCAGAAGAAUCACGGUCUCCAGCGGUGGAGGCAGAACAUAGCCAUCAGAGAUAGUAGCCAUUGAUAGCCUUGACUUCUGUGAAUUUGUCCUAUCCUCUUUUAAAGCCAUCCAAGUCAGUGGCCAUCCUUGCCUCUUGUGGGAGUGAGUUCCAUAGUUUAAUUGUGUGCUGUGUGAAGAAGCACUUGCUUUUCAUCUGGCUUGAAUUUUCCAGCUUUGAUGGAUGUCCCAAAGUUCUACAGAGAAAAGCCUUUUUCUCUCUCUAUCUGCUUUUUCCAUGCCAUGCUUAAUUUUAUACUCCUCUAUCCUGUCACCUCUUACUUGCCUUUUCUCCUAAUAAAGAAGCCCCAAAUGUUGUAACCUUUCCUCACAGGGGAGUUGCUCCAUCCCCUUGAUUGUUUCAGCUGCCCCUUUCUGAACCCCUCCACCCCUUGGAGAAACAGGGACUUAAACAUUUAAAUAUUAAGGAAUAAUUUAAGAUUUUAGAAAAAAGAGAGAAACAGAGAAGGGAGGUAAGGAAAGUGUUCCUUGCUGCACUGAUGACUGCUGUAUAAUCUCCCCAUGCCACCUCAUGUACACACUAAACUAAAGGCAAAUGGAGUCAAAGGGUGUAUCCAAAUCAGUCGUAAUCAGUGUAGAUCCACUGAAGAUAAUACGGUACAUAUUACUAACAUAGGUCCAUUAAUUUCAGGGUGUCUCCUCUGAGUAGCACUUAGCUACAUAAAACCCAAAUAACUUUUGCAUACUGAUUUCCCCCUUCCAAAUUUCUUUCCAGGGCCACUCCAAGGAGCAGGGAAGCUUUUUCCCCCCUUUCCUCUUUCUCUUUCUUUUUUAAAAGUUCAUCUCAUUUUAUUUUUCUGAAGUUAAGCAGCCCUCGGAAUGAAUGCAUUAACUGGUACUCUGGAAGCCUGACUCAUUUUUAUGAUAGCACGAGCUUGACUUUAAAAAAAUAGAAAAGAAAGAAAAAAGAGCAGGGAAGGGAGAGGGAAAGACACAAGGUUUUUAUUCUCCUCUCCCAUCCAGGGCCAAGUGAAAUGAGAGUUAUUUGAUAAUAUUUAUAGUGUCUCCAGUUGCAGAUGACGGUGCUGCAUUACUGAAGCGACUCACGGGAUGGAGGAGCCAGAGAAGGAUCAUGUCUGCAUAACAGGCUGAGUAGAUGCUUACAUAAGGCAGAGCUUUGGGCUGAUUUGCUUUAGCUGUGACCAGGGGUGAGGGAAACCCACCCCCUGGGCCAACCUUGGCAACUGAACAUGACAACACACCUGUCAGUCACAUGGCAACAUGACAACGUCAUAUAAUUGGUGAGUUGCCCUGCCCCACCUGUCAAAAUCCCUUGCAUGGGGUUCCCAAACACCCCAAAGCCAGCUGGCUAUCAAGGAUUUGGGAACCACAACAGAAGCAGCAAUGCAAAUUCCGUGGUUGGUGCUUUGGGGAUCACUGAGCAAAGCAUUUAUUUUUCCCCUCCCCACCAGUGUGUUUGUGUGUGGGGCCUACAUUUAACUGGCAUUGCUGUGCACAAGAGUCGGUAGAGCCUGGGGCUCAAUUCUCUCUCACAACUGAUGUCGGGGGGGGGGGAGGUUUCUCUCUUCCCUCCCUGCAACAUAAGAAUAUAACCGCCUCUGAAAAGUUUGGAAACUUCAGCUGUUGCAAAAACAUUCCUUGUCAUCCAUGUCUUUGGCUGAUUAAACAAUCUAUGGCAUUUUAAAAGUUUUUUGGGGGGGUAUUGUUUUGGUUCGCGGGGCUUUCGUGUUUUUCGGUUUUAUGUUGUAUAUUUUGAGGGGGUUUUUAGUGUGUAAACUGGCCUGUGGUCAUUGGAUGAAGGACAGUAUAUAAAUUUAAUAAAUAAAUAGUGUAAGACAAGCCAGUUGGAGCAAGCCAAUGGCCCAUCUAGUCCAGCUUCUUGUUCCCACAAUAUGCUAGCCAAUCAGAUGUCCAUAUGAAAAGCUCAUGAGAAGAACCUGAACACAAUAGCCCUCUGUGCACCUGCAAUUCCUAGCUGCUGGCAUAAUGCCUCUGACAGUAGAGGUGGAACAAAGCCAUUGUGGCUAGUAGCCAUUGAUAGCUAUAGUCUUGUCCUCGCUUAUUUUGUCUAAUCCUCUUAAAAGAACAGUAAUGUCAGUUGAUAGACAGGUGGGUGUGGUUUGGGGGAAACAGUUUUUGGGCCACAUUGGACACAUGCACCCUUGGGGUCUAAGAUUGGUCCACAGGCUAGAAUAUCCCCCACUCCUGGCAUAAAAUCUUUUGGGUACUACUUGUUACGACAUUUGCGUUCUCCAUCUCUGGAGAUGCCAGAGAAUGAACUUGGGGAACUUCUGCAUGAGGGAACCUGGGAACUUCUGUAUUCAGCUGUGGUUUCUUUCUAAGUGCACAUCUCAGGCUUGAACAGGACACCCAGGAGCCAUGGAAAUUCUGCCCUGCCCUCCCACUCACUUCCAAAUUUCAGUUUUGGGCUUAGUUUAGAUGACCUGAGUGACCUAUCCUGGAGGAUGAUGGGCUGUAGAGUGCAGUAUUUGAUAUUUGGCAGUGGGUGUAUACAGGCUUUGCCCAGGUUGCACACACAGUACUCUGGACAGAAUUAAUCUCCCUGUGAAUUUCAGCUUUCUUUUCUUCUGUCUUAAAAACACAACCACCAAGUUUCUAGUCCUCAACAAUGAAAAUGAUUUGGUUGAAAGUGUAAUCCUGAGGUUCCGGCUGUGUUGACCCGUCAUUAUUCAGAUGAGUGGAGGAACUGCACCCAGGACUCUGUCCCAGCAUUGUGCUGGCAGCUGGUGCUGAACUGGGUGGGAGAAUAAGAUUUGCAGAAAUCAUAGGGCAGGACUUCAGCAUCUUGCCUGUCUCUAUCUGCCAGGCUCUAUGCACACCAUUUAAACCACACACCCCCCUCCUAACAAUCCUGGGGACUGUAGUUUACCCCACACCAAGGUAAAAUUCUCAGCACCCUUAACAAACUACUGUCCCCAGGGUUCUUUGAGGGAAGACACAUGCUUUAAAUGUAUGAAGUGCACACGCUAUAUAGUUGCCAGUGCACUGCUGAAGGCUGGAAGGUAAACAGAAAGGCUGGCAGUUCUCAUGCUCUUUGUGGGGAAAGCUGUACUGCCGCCCUUAUCCCAGAUGGAGACCUCACAUGAACCAAAUCAGCUUCCCGUUUGGUUGUGUGCGCUCCAACCCACAAAGUGAAUUUCUGAGCCCAGCAAAGAGAGACACAGGCUGUGUCAACUAACUGGAAGGACAGAGGAAGGAGAAGGGAGGAAAGUGGAUGGCGGGGAGGCAAUACUGGCAAAAGGACACAAAGAUACUUCGUUUAAGGGAAACCUCCGACUGGAUUGAGGCUAAGGCAGCAUAUGCAUUACAGUUUACUCCCACUGCUGGUGUCUGAGGCUGAGUACUCACAAUGUUAGCAUUUCUUGAGAAAUGCUGUUGCUCAAUGUGUUUUGUCCCAAACCAACUUCACUCAGUUCGAAAAAGCAAGCCAUGGUUAAACUAGGGUGUGUGCAUUUGAGACAUUGGUUGUGAAUGCACAGAUGCAAGCACAUGCGCAUAUGAUGGCUUCAUUGAAUAGGAAUUUGGGCAGGGGAUGCAGGUGAAGGGAAACUAAACAGGUAAUGCACAUCGAGUGAAGACGUCCCCCCACCCGUGUGCACAGGAAUGCAAAAAUGUGACUCAAAUGGCCUUGCUCAGCUACUAAUGUGUAUAUCGCAUAAGGAUACUUGCAUAGGACACACUCCCAUUUACUUUCCAUCCAGUGCACCCCCACCAUUGGUUUAGGAAGCCAUGUACACACGGCAUUAUUUGUUUAAUUUAUAUUCCACCCUUCCUCCCCAGGGAGCGCGGGGCAGCAAACAGAUAACACAAUUUAAAAACAAAAACAGUCUAAAACACAAUUACAAACAUCCCAAAGCAGAAGGUUCCAGGUUCAAUCUCAAAUGGUAUCUCCGGGUAGGGUUGUGAAGUAUCACCUGCCUGGGAAACCCUGCAGAACUGUUGACAGCCAGGGUUUUCUGCGGGUUGAUGUUUGUUCCGAUUCAGCAACAAGCAGCGUUUUUCCUGGGGAAAGCGUUGCUAUGUGUGUGCAUGGGGCCGGGGUGGGGGACACCUCUCGACCCUGUGACUUGAAAUCAGGGACCAACAGAAGUGUGGAUGGGACUUCAGUGUGUAGACAACACAGAACCUGAUAGUUCGACUCCAGAAGGCGGCUUCCUGUUUUCCUAGAAUCCGCUCGCCCCGUGCACGCACAGCGCUCCUGCGUCCUGGGCGACGCAAUUGCUGUGCGCUGGCCGUGUUGUGAGGUUGGUUGGUUGGGUGUGUGUUUGCUUGCGCGCGCGCGCUUCUCUAAACCGGGCGGCUGGGCGAGCGCACCGCACGGCAACCCUCCCCUCGCGCGCCCUCUUUGGGAGCCGAGGCCUUCUUGGGGAUGGGAACGAAACAAAAGGAGGCACACGUGAGGCUCCUCCUCCUCCUCCUCCUCCUCCUUUCCCCUGUGCUGCGCUCGCUCUCUCAGUCACGCGGCCGGCUUGCUUUUGCCCUCCUGCUCCUCCCUCUUUCCUAGCUGCGCUCUCCUUCGCUCAGUCGCGUGGCCCUGGCUCAGCCCUCGGUGGCGCGUGCGGGCCGUGCGCUCUCCCUUUCGCCCUCCUCGCCCCCACCACCUCAGUCCUCGAGACCCGCAGCUGGUUAUGUGCGCGUGGCAGAUCCAAGGCAGGGCCCAGUUUUCCAUGCAUAGGCUGUAAUUUAAAGAAGAAAAGUGGGGGAGGGGGAAAGCAUUUGAGAGGCGGCGCGGUGUAGUGGUUGUACUCGAGGAUUGGAACGAGGCCAUGGGUGCAAGAUCCCCACGUAACCACGAAGUGUGGCUUUCGGCUAGUUUUUGUCUGUCAGGCUAGCCCACCUCGUAAGGGUGUUGUGAGGAUAAAAUUAGGAGGGGGAGAAGAAUUUGCCUUGAGCAUCUCCUAGAGAAAAGAUGGGAUUUGGCUGUAAAGAAAAAGACUAUGUAGAUGGAAUGUCCCUUCUCCACACAUGAAUUUGUAGAGCUGUACAUAGAUGCUAGGAAAGGAUAUACUUUAUUAGCUUCAUCCUUCUGUUCUCAGUUAGGAAGAGGGAGAAGGUUUCUCCAAAAGCACUGCCUCUUAAGUUACAACUUAUUUAUUUGCAAUAUUGUCAGUUAAAAAAAAAAAAAAAGCAAGUGUGUCUUCUAACAAUGCACAUCAGGGAAAACAUUUAGUGAGGAAGGCACCCAAGUGGCAAAGCACAUUUCUGAGGGUGGGUGGUUAAGGAAACAGAAAAUGUGUUUACCUAUGGAGGGUACAUCUAUCGGGGAGAGUGACUUGUUGGUGGGGUUGAUUGCCCUCCUCACUCCCCUCCUCCACUUACUACUAUCAAGCACAAAGUGUUGGCAUUGGAUUCCAUCUAACACUCAGCUCCCAAGUUGCAGAUGGUAACAAAGAGACAUAUUUUAGACCAAGAGCCCAUCUCAUCCAACAUCUUGUUUUCCACAAGUUGCCAGUCAGAUGCUUUUGGGAAGCCUACAAACCGUAUUAUGAAGGCAACAGACCUAUGAACAUAAGAAGUGACCCAACACUAACUGGCAGUGGCACUCGAGAGUUCCAGGGAGGGAGUUCAGUUCCUACCUGGAGAUGCAGGGGCUGGGGGGUUGAACUUGGACCUUCUGCAUGCUCUAAUUACUGUGCUACCGCCCUUCCCUCCCUAAUUCAGCAUAACUUGCUCUGCUGAUCAUGAGAAGGAACAAGGAACUAUAUAGAACAGAGCAUGUGAUACUGCCUUUUAAUAAGACCGUAUGCCUACCCAGCCCAGUGCUCUCUAUUUUGUCUGGCAGUGAAAGGUCCCAGUCAGGCCCAGAGCUCCCUACAAAAGACCUUAGGAAAUGGUCUUAUGGACCACCUAGCUCACUGGCAAUAACUCUUCCUUUUGCCACCACUUUGUCUAAUGGUGGGGCCGGGAUAGUUCCCAGCGCACCAACUGUUGUCCCAUCAUAGGAAGCUGCCUUCUACUGACUCAGACCAUUGGUACAUCCAGCUCAGCUUUUUCUACACGGACUGGCAGUGGCUCUCCACGGUUUUGGGCAGGGGGCACUCCCAGCUUUAUUUGGAGAUAUGAGGGAUUGAACCUGGGGCCUUCUGCAGGCAAAGCAGGUGAUCUAACUACUGAACUAUGGUUCACUCCAAAUGCCAAGGAUUGAAUUUAGCAUGUAGCCAUAUAACAGUUGAAAGACCCAAUGGUGUGACUCAGUAUGAGGCUUCGUCAUAAUGCCAUUCUCCCCCACACCUUUUGCUUCUCACUCUAUUUUGUGGGGCAAGGGCAUUCGUGGCUUGUUUGCCACCUAUGCAGUAUGCAGUUAAGUGCACAUGUCAUCAAGGUUUCUGUUUUUAAGGAUAGCAAAGAGAAGUGCACCUACUGUUGCCACUGGCUUUAUUUGGAUUUUAUGUAUAUUUUAAUUAUCUGAUUUUACAUAGGGUUUUUUUUCAACACGUUAGUGUUGGAGUGUUAUUCUGUAAGACCGCUUUGGGUUUCCUUGGAUGAGAAGAGUGGUCUAUGAAUGAUUGCAACCAGUGAUAAGAAAUAAAUAUUAUCUUGCACUUAACUCUGCGUCCAGCCAUCCAUUUCACGGGCACAGGAUAGGAUUAGCAAUAUUAGGGAACGAGUGCCCCCUUUCCUCCUUUUCUUUGUAACAACCCCACUGUCUGAAAAAGCCCAGUAAAAAAAAAAAAGAAAUCUAAAUUCUGGAAUCUUUCCAGUUUUGACUCACUGGAGGUCAAACAUCUCAUCGCAGGGAAAACAGCUACAGGAAGCUGGUGGGGAGAAGGAAGGCAGGCACAGGAGUGGGGGGGGGGGCGGGCGGGGGAGCUGUCAGGAGGCCUCUGAAGCUUUUACGUUCCCAGAACUCAGCAGGCCUGCAGCUUUCUACCCUGUUAAUCCUUUCCAAGUUCCGUCCUUGCUGUAAGGCAUGCGUUGUUACGAAAUCUGCAAAGACCAGGUCUGCCUGCCAAAAAAGGAGAACUAGUCUGUUGUGUCCACCAACAGUUCAAAAUGCUCUCACAACUCCAAAAAGGCACAGGCUGCGAUUUUAUUUAAAACAAAAACAAAAAAACUUGAAAUUGUUUCAAACCAACAAACAAGCCACCAAACUCCUUUUGGGAUGACAUCCGCUUGACAAAAUAAUUAAGCUGAUAUAUUUUAUACAUGACAAAAUAAUUAAGCUGGUCUGCUUUAGUUUAGGCUGGUUUGGGAAGCAAUAUCUUUUUUAAAAAUAAAAAACUAUAACUCUGCAUAGGCUAGCUGCAGAUGGAUUUUUAAAAACCCUUUGCACAUGCUCGUAUGUACUUUUGUCUUUGUUACAUCAUACAAGUUAAUUAUACCCUUGGCACUCCCCCCCCCCUCAACAAAAACAAACAAAGCAAAGAGUUUUUGUGAGCCCCGGGCGCAAUGAAUUAUAAUUAUAAACUCCAGAAAAUGAGAGCCAAAUUAUAAUUAUCCAAGUGUGGGAUGGGAGUGCAUACCUACAGAGAUUCAGCAAAGAGCAUGUUCAGUGGUGGGAUUCUGUCCGGCAGCGACUUGAAGUCACAUUAUGUCACUUUUUGUGAAAAAAGCAGCUAAUAAUUAAAUAUAGUAAUGAUAAUAAAAUGUGCUUCAAAGCAUGUCCAUUUUUGUGACCACUGUGUAGCCUAUCCCACAGCAUCUGGGAUUUUAGGGUAUAGGUAUUCAAGUCAGGAAGUGCAGAAUUGACCUCUAGCAUGUUUCUCUUUAUUUAUUACAUUCCUGUCCCACCUUCCCUCCAAGGAGCUCAAGGCGGUGUUCUCCUCCCUCUUUUAUCCUCACCACAACCCUGUGAGGUAGUUUAGGCUGAGAGGCAAUGAUGGUGUCGGACUAGGGACUCAGGCUAGACUGGUAAAGAAAAAGAGAUUUACGGCAUAUGCAAUAUAACAUUGUGCCACCAGAUGGCGAUGUGGAGUCCUAUUUUUCCCUACCUGUUUUCCCUGUUUAAAUUUACAACGCUUUAAGCUCUGAAACGCUUCUUUGAUGUGUCUAGAUCCAGCCUAGGACCUCGGAGAGACUAAAAAUCUAAUCCCUACUCGUCCCUGAAGCUCACUGGAGUGACCAUGGGCCAGCCACUACCUCUCAACCUAACCUACCUUGCAAGGUUGUGGGGAGUAAAUGAAGAGGAGGGAGAACAAUGGAUGCCACCUCAAGCUCUGUAAAAAAGAAAAGGUGGGAUAUAAACGGCAAUAAAUAAACAAUCGCUACACC